GGGUCUGCUUAGCUGCAGGUCCUCGCCUUUGGUGGGGAUGCGCGUAUCACUUGUCAAGUGUUGUGCGCCCGGACGUUGUCGAACCUGCUCGCCAGUGCAUUUUCACAGAGUGUUCACCACGACCGGCGUUGUCGUCUGGCUGUUGCGGUUAAACCGGCUUAGUAGGGUCCUUGUGGCCUUGCUGGGUCGGGAUGGCAGGUAGCCUGUUGUGCAUUUAUGUGCUUCAGGUGUAAUAGCUGACUGCAUCGGUUCUGUGCGGUACGUCGGAGACGGCGGCUUGUUGCGCUUGCGUGCGUGCCUGUUGCGCUGGCGGCUCUGGGUCUGAUUGCCUUGUUGCUUGUAAAUGCAAGCCAGGUGGUGGCUCGGGGUCGUUCGGUGUGCGGUUGCGUGCGUGGUGCUUUGAAAGGGCCCACAGUCUGUGGUGUAGUGGUAGACUAUCCACCCGACCCGUCUUGAAACACGGACCAA
rnacentral:rRNA from 1 species